CCUACGGGUGGCUGCAGUGGGGAAUUUUGGACAAUGGGCGCAAGCCUGAUCCAGCAAUGCCGCGUGCAGGAAGAAGGCCUUCGGGUUGUAAACUGCUUUUGUACGGAGCGAAAAGGCUCUCUCUAAUACAGGGGGCUCAUGACGGUACCGUAAGAAUAAGCACCGGCUAACUACGUGCCAGCAGCCGCGGUAAUACGUAGGGUGCGAGCGUUAAUCGGAAUUACUGGGCGUAAAGCGUGCGCAGGCGGUGAAAUCCCCGGGCUCAACCUGGGAAUGGCGCUUGUGACUGCAAAGCUGGAGUGCGGCAGAGGGGGAUGGAAUUCCGCGUGUAGCAGUGAAAUGCGUAGAUAUGCGGAGGAACACCGAUGGCGAAGGCAAUCCCCUGGGCCUGCACUGACGCUCAUGCACGAAAGCGUGGGGAGCAAACAGGAUUAGAUACCCUUGUAGUC
rnacentral:rRNA from 1 species